rnacentral:rRNA from 1 species
GACGAACGCUGGCGGCGUGCCUAACACAUGCAAGUCGAACGGAGUGUUUAUUUAUAAACACUUAGUGGCGAACGGGUGAGUAACGCGUAGACAACCUACCCUCUAGAUGGGGACAACACCGCGAAAGUGGUGCUAAUACCGAAAGUUGUAAUGUUGUUGCAUAAUGAUAUUACUAAAGGUGGCCUCUAUAUAUAAGCUACCGCUAGAAGAUGGGUCUGCGUCUGAUUAGCUAGUUGGUGAGAUAACAGCUCACCAAGGCAAUGAUCAGUAGCCGGUCUUCGAGGAUGACCGGCCACACUGGGACUGAGACACGGCCCAGACUCCUACCGGAGGCAGCAGUGGGGAAUCUUCCGCAAUGGACGAAAGUCUGACAGAGCAACACCGCGUGAGUGAAGAAGGUUUUCGGAUCGUAAAGCUCUGUCUUCAAGGACGAAUGUAGAUAGUGUGAAUAAUGAUAUUUAAUGACGGUACUUGAGGAGGAAGCCACGGCUAACUACGUGCCAGCCGCCGCGUUAA